UGUGUGUGUGCACGUGUGUGUGUGUGUGCAUGUGUGAUGUGUGUGUAUGGUGUAUGGUGUGUGCGUGCAUGUGGUGUGUAUGUGUGUGUGUAUGUGUCGUGUGCGGCGUGUGUA
rnacentral:miRNA from 14 species